UGGGGGAUAUUGGACAAUGGGGGCAACCCUGAUCCAGCGAUGCCGCGUGUGUGAAGAAGGCCUGAGGGUUGUAAAGCACUUUCGGUGGGGAGGAGAGGAUUCAGGUUAAGAGCUAGAGUCUGAGACGUUACCCACAAAAGAAGCACCGGCUAACUCCGUGCCAGCAGCCGCGGUAAUACGGAGGGUGCGAGCGUUAAUCGGAAUUAUUGGGCGUAAAGGGUGCGUAGGUGGUUUUAUAAGUUAUCUGUGAAAACCCUGGGCUUAACCUGGGGGAGAGAGAUAAGACUGUUGAACUAGAGUAUAGGAGAGGGUAGUGGAAUUUCCGGUGUAGCGGUGAAAUGCGUAGAGAUCGGAAGGAACACCGGUGGCGAAGGCGGCUGCCUGGCCUAAUACUGACACU
rnacentral:rRNA from 1 species